CCGGCAAACAACAUCAUCAAGCAUGACAGAGUCAAAGAGUCGGGCUGUUUGGGAAUGCAGUCUAAAGUGGGUGGUAAACUCCAUCUAAGACUAAAUAUAACUCCGGGACCGAUAGCGAACAAGUACCGUGAGGGAAAGUUGAAAAGCACUCAGAAAUGAAAGUGAAAAGGGCGUGAAACCGUUAAUGGGGAAGCGAACGAUGGAAUCAAAGUGACUUGCUGUGGGUGUGCGUCAUCCUCACAAGGAUACGUAACAGGUAGCAGCAAGUUACGCGCCGGACUCACUGUUUAAAGGGGCUGGCACCCAAUACAGUUGUAGAUAUAGAGUUUUUCAUGAGAUUUUCUCCGAUUUACAAUGUAUUGGUGUUGUUGUAGAGUCUCAAAAUAGUGUUUGAUGUGUGAUGCCCUGUUGAAUGACACAUGUGUGUGUGUGGUCACAUGGUAAUUUUGUGUCGGGUCGGGAAUACCUGGCCCGGCAAAGGUUGUUGUUAGGCCAUGCACAUGCAUGUGCUAUUCAGUAGAGCGCUUCAACAGAAGCACACGUAAUUCCGGCGAGAUAUGCUAUUGUUCGACCCGUCCUUGAAACACGGACCAAGGAGGCUAACGUAUGCGCGAGUCCGAGGAGUUGAGAAACUCUUGGGCGCAACGAAAGUGAAAUGUGAGAUCCCCUCCGGUGCAAACCGGGGGCGCACCACAGACCAGUUGGAAGAUUGACUACAAUUGAGUUGUAGCGUAUACGAUAGGACCCGAAAGAUGGUGAUCCUAUGCUUGAGUAGGCUGAAUUCAUUGGAAACAAUGAUGGAAGGCCAUAGCGGUUCUGACGUGCAAAUCGAUCGUAAAACUUGAGUAUAGGGGCGAAAGACCAAUCGAACCAUCUAGUAGCUGGUUCCCUCCGAAAUAUCCCUCAGGAUCGCCGGAGUCCGUCUAGGCACAGUUUCAUCGGGUAGAGCGAAUGAUUAGAGGUGUAAGGGUCGUUUCUGGCCUUUAACUAUUCUCAAACUGCAAACCGGUGAUACAGUGAGCCGUUUCUUGAGUGAACGUGCACACUAGAAUGUGAGGACUCUGAGUGGGCCACUUUUGGUAAGCAGAACUGGCGAUGCGGGAUGAACCGAGAGUCAGGUUAAGGUGCUCAAGUGAAGGCUAAUGGACACCACAAAAGGAGUUGAUAAAUGAUAACAGUGAGGCGGUUGCCCUGGAAGUAGGAAUCCGCUAAGAAACGUGUAACAACGUACUUACCGAAUUUAUCGGCCCUGAAAAUGGAUAGCGCUCAGCCUUACACCGAUACCUGACCGUAGACGCGAGAAAUGACGUCUAUGGGUAGGAGGGUGUUGUGGUCG
rnacentral:rRNA from 1 species